AUAUAUUGACUUGUUGGAAGCAGAGCUAUUUCCACAAAAACCAAGAAAGUUAGAUGCUGUAGAAUUGAAUUUAGGUGAUGGGUGAAGAUCUUGUCUAUGUUGAGGUUCAUAAUAAGAGAAAGUUGGAGAGUCAACUGGUGAUUUCCAUACGCCUGAUGCACAUUGAAAAUUAAAUUACCCAGAAAAGUAGCAUUGAUAACAGAAUUGUAAGAAAGAGAUUAUGUAAGAUCAAGUCACCUUGCAGAGAAGAAUCAGGCAUUGUUGAUGGUAGAAUGGGAGGCCUUGAUCUCUUGUUUCUUUGGGUUGGCUGGGAGUUCGCAGGAGCAGUAGACACAAGUGGCUCCAAUUCCCACGAAGAAACUCUAUCAGGACGCAAAAUUGAUGACGGUUCAUCCCACUGAACCUGAAAUACAUUAUCAAUCAUAACAUUGAUGAGCCAAAAGCUUCCAUGUAACUUUCAAAUCCUAUUUAUCCAACAUGUUGCCUUUGAAUUUAUCUCGUGUGCAAAAUCUUUAGCCAUUUUCUGGUAGCUAAGUGUGCUUUUAUGACAUCUAUCUCCUUUUAGGCCAGUUAAUGUGUCCACCACUGAACUUCCCACCAUAUAAGUCUGUUUGGAGUAUCUGAUGAGAAUGUAUAUGAUAGAAUUAGAGGAAGGCCUAAACCUCCUAGUACUAGAGUUUAUGUUAGGCGCCAAAAGCACCAAGCAGUCCUCUGCGUCGGAACAGUCAUGCUGCUCCAUGGUGAAUUGCUUGCCAAGUUCAUUCUCAAUUCUUUCAUGUUCUACUUCCUACUUUCAUACUAAUAUUAUUUGUCUAUAACAACUACAGUAUUGGAAGAUCUUGGGGUAUUAGAUACCAGACCCCACAAUAGAUGACUGGUCCUCUGGAUUGACCACUGCUUCAGAAUCCAGUUUGCUUGGUUUAACUUCUUCAUUGAUUGGAAAUCCUAUUUUUGGUGAAAGCUUCUUCACCUCAGCUGCUGUGUAGAUGAAAAUUUUCCUUACGACACUACAGAACUCACUGCAGGAGAAUAGCAAGAAUGUUAUAUAAACAAAAUAAAAAAUAUUAUUCCGCACAGUUAAAAGUGUCCGAGUAAAUAAAUAUCAGCAUCAUAUGAUCUUACAGCCAUGGAUCAUCCCCAACCAUCAUCAUGUCAUCUUCAUUAUCAGUGUAAACAACCUGCCAUUUUUGUGUGGAUCCACAAAGCUCGUCCUUGAUGUCAAACAUCUCUUCCAAUUUCCCAAGCAGAUCUUCAUAUCCAUCAAACCGUGUUAAGUCCACAGCCCUUCCAACAGCCAUACCUUGCAUGUGAACCUAUAAUAACGUUAAAAUUGUAUCAUAAAUGAUCUCAUUAUAAUGGAGGCAAUGCCAUUUUGUAAAUGAAGGAAGCUAAACCAAAUUUUAUCAGUAGAAGACAAACAUUAUGAAGUACAAAAUUUAAUUGAAUCCUCCAAAAACUAGAAUCUUUUAACCCUUGCUACUAAUUACAUUAGUUUUUAUGACUAAUGAGGACUAGUGGAUUCUAUUUCAAAUAAGAAGGUUGAGUUUUUUCCCAGAUGAACUUUUAAUGUAGGUUCUGACUUCUGAGGAAUGGAAAAAUAUUGGAAGUCAUACUGUGUAUUAUUGUGGCAAUAAUAUUCACUGUAGAAUUCUGUUCAUUUCGAUAAUGUUAUAUACUUAUUGAUCGCGUGAUAUCAAUAAUGCAUAGAUUCUAAAAUAUAUCAUAAGGAGCAUAAAUUCUAAAAUAUAUCAUAAGGAGCAUAAAUCAUCAUACAAAUGUGUGAUAUGAAGACACAAUAAGUCAAUAACUGCAUACAGUCAACUAAAUUAGUGCAAAGGAAAAUUACGCCAAGGAAGUUACAGGAUUGUGAAUGAAAAUGGGGAGAGGUGCAGUGUAUGAUAAACCAACAACAAAAACAGUUACGCUACCUUUGUGCAGCUUCUUAUUUGCCUGUUCUGUGAAUCCUGGGGAGACUGCAUGCUUGAUUUUUCAGCAUCAAAACUUACUGAAGGAAUAUCAGAUCGAUUAACAUUUGAUGGUUCAGAAUGCUGGUCAGAGUCGGCAUCCAAACAUGGAACAGACCUAUCAUCAACUACCCUUCCUGACAAAGUGACUGUUGGCAGACUUUCUUCUGCAUUAGAAUUCCCAAGUAGCUGUAUCCCGAAGAGCUUACAGCCAUUUCCAGUGCCCUGUCUCUUCUCUCCAGAUUCUUUAAGCGCUACAGGUGAAAAAGAUUCUGUGAAGUUUUCAAUCCUAUUUGACCAAUAUAUUGACUUGUUGGAAGCAGAGCUAUUUCCACAAAAACCAAGAAAGUUAGAUGCUGUAGAAUUGAAUUUAGGUGAUGGGUGAAGAUCUUGUCUAUGUUGAGGUUCAUAAUAAGAGAAAGUUGGAGAGUCAACUGGUGAUUUCCAUACGCCUGAUGCACAUUGAAAAUUAAAUUACCCAGAAAAGUAGCAUUGAUAACAGAAUUGUAAGAAAGAGAUUAUGUAAGAUCAAG
rnacentral:lncRNA from 1 species